ensembl:lncRNA AFG3L1P AFG3 like matrix AAA peptidase subunit 1, pseudogene
AUUGCGCAUGCGCGCGCCCGGGCGGCGCGGGAUCUGGGUCUGGGGAUGUGGUACCGGCUGCUGGCGGCGGCCGGCAGUAGAGCGGUGGCCAGGCCGCUGGCCUUGCUGUGGCGAUGUGGUGGCCCAGGAGGCGGCAGGACGGCCAAGACCAGCGCGAGGGCCCUGGGCAAGGCCCGACAGUGGUUAUGGCCAGUGAGAAUGUGCGGUGUUGCAUUGCAGAAGAAGCUAGGAAAGCUCAUCUGGCCUCCUGUUCCAGUGCUUCCAGGGGAUCCACGUUCAGAAGCUGACUCUGCAGGCAAGACCGACGUUAUUUUCCUGGUGGCUGUGUUCAAAACCACCCAAAGAGACUGGUGAACUAGAGAAUGCUGAGUCUGGAGGAGACGGAGGCAGGAGAGGAGGGAAGCAGGAUAACGUUGCCUGGUGGAGGCGGAUGCAGAAGGGGGGACUUCCCCUGGGAUGACGAGGAUUUCCGCAGUCUGGCCCUUUUGGGGGCAGGCGUUGCCAUGGGAUUUUUCUACCUCUAUUUUCGAGAUCCUGGAAGAGAAAUCACGUGGAAGCACUUUGUACAGUAUUACCUGGCCAGAGGUCUGGUGGACCGGCUGGAAGUCGUGAACAAACAAUCUGUGCGUGUUAUUCCUGCCCCUGGGACCUCUUCUGAAGGAGCCAUGCUCACUGGUCCUCCUGGUACCGGCAAGACCCUUCUUGCCAAAGCAACUGCAGGGGAGGCCACUGUGCCCUUCAUCACUGUGAACGGGUCUGAGUUCCUGGAAAUGUUUAUUGGCGUUGGGCCAGCAAGGGGUUCAACUCUGCCACCAACGUCGUGGUGUUGGCUGGCACCAACCGCCCUGACGUCCUGGACCCGGCCCUCAUGCGGCCUGGCCGGUUUCAUCGCCAGAUUUACACUGGUCCCCCUUACAUUAAAGGCAGGUCCUCCAUCUUUAAGGUCCACCUGCGCCCACUGAAGCUGGACAAGAGCCUCAAUAAGGACACCCUGGCGAGGAAGCUGGCAGUGCUCACCCCAGGCUUCCCUGAUGUCUGUUUACAUACCAAAGUUAAAAAGCUGGAAUGUUACCAAGACUGCUUUCUUCUGCCCAUAGACGGGGAUGACUCAGCACUACCCCUCAACAGAGAUGACUUUGAUGACUCUGCCCCUCAGCAGGGCUUACUAAGCACUACCCCUUAACAGGGAUGACUCCGCACUGCCCCUCAACAGGGAUGACUCAGCAGAGAUGACUCAGCACUGUCCCUUAGCAGGGAUGACACAGCAAGGAUGACUCAGCACUGCCCCUCAGCAAGGAUGACUCAGCACUGCCGCUCAACAGACAUGACUCAGGGAUGGCUUAGUACUGCCCCUCAGCAGGGAUGACUCAGCACCGCCUCUCAACAGGGAUGACUCAGCAGGGAUGACUCAGCACCGCCCCUCAACAGGCAUGACUCUGCAGAGAUGACUCAGCACUGUCCCUUAGCAGGGAUGACACAGCAAGGAUGACUCAGCACUGCCCCUCAGCAAGGAUGACUCAGCACUGCCGCUCAACAGGGAUGACUCAGGGAUGGCUUAGUACUGCCCCUCAACAGGGAUGACUCAGCAGGGAUGACUCAGCACCGCCCCUCAACAGGCAUGACUCUGCAGAGAUGACUUAGUACUGCCCCUCAGCAGGGAUGACUCAGUACUGCCCCUCAGCAGGGAUGACUCAGCACUGCCCCUCAACAGGGAUGACUCAGCAGGGAUGACUCAGCACUGUCCCUUAGCAGUGAUGACACAGCAAGGAUGACUCAGCACUGCCCCUCAGCAAGGAUGACUCAGCACUGCCGCUCAACAGACAUGACUCAGGGAUGGCUUAGUACUGCCCCUCAGCAGGGAUGACUCAGCACCGCCCCUCAACAGGGAUGACUCAGCACUGCCCCUCAACAGGGAUGACUCAGCAGGGAUGACUCAGCAGUGUCCCUUAGCAGCGAUGACACAGCAAGGAUGACUCAGCACUGCCCCUCACCAAGGAUGACUCAGCACUGCCGCUCAACAGACAUGACUCAGGGAUGGCUUAGUACUGCCCCUCAGCAGGGAUGACUCAGCAGGGAUGACUCAGCACCACCCCUCAACAGGGAUGACUCAGCAGGGAUGACUCAGCACUGCCCCUCAACAGGGAUGACUGCAGGGAUGACUCAGCACUGCCCCUCAGCAGGGAUGACUCAGCACUGCCCCUCAGCAGGGAUGACUCAGCAGGGAUGACUCAGCACCGCCCCUCAACAGGCAUGACUCUGCAGAGAUGACUCAGCACUGCCCCUCAGCAGGGAUGGCUCAGCAGGGAUGACUCAGCAUUGCCCCUCAACAGGGAUGACUCAGCAGACUCAGCAGGGAUGACUCAGCACUGCCCCUCAACAGACAUGACUCAGCAGGGAUGACUCAGCACCGCCCCUCAGCAAGGAUGACUCAGCAGGGAUGAUUCAGCAGAGAUAACUCGGGGAUGACUCUGAUUGUCCUUCAGCAGGGAUGAGUCUGUUUUGCUCCGAUGGAAGCAUCUGUAGUGUCCAUCAGCAGGUGAAUGGCCAAAGUGGUAUAUACUGUAGUCACAUUCAGCUAUAAAAAGGAAUAAAGUAUCGAUGCAUGCCACAACAUGGGUGAACCUAGAAAAUACUGAUCUAAAUGCAAGAAGCCAGGCACAAAAGGCCACAUAGUAUAUGUUCCCAUUUAUGUGAAAUGUGCAGAAUAAUAAUAAAAAUGUAUAGAAUAGCAAAUCUGUAGGGACAGACAUGAGGUGAGUGGUUGCCAGAAGUGGAAAUGGGAGUUAACUAUAAAUUGCACAGGGUACCUUACAGAGAUGAUGGAAAUGUCCUAAAACUAGAUUAUGGCAAUAGUUGCACUACGUGAUCAGUUUAUUAAAAAUCGUUGAUGUGUGUGUGUAAAAUGGGUGGAUUUUAUGGUUUAUAAAUUAUACCUUAAUAAAGGUUAACAAAAAAUGUGGCUAAA